rnacentral:lncRNA from 1 species
AAAUCAAAUAUCCACUCGUAAAUUUGAAUUAUUUGAAAUUAUAUAGUAGAUCACCAGUAAAUAUAAGAGGUCUAUCUUAAAGUUAAUGGUGGAUGUGGUGGUGAGGGGUGAGAUAAUGAAUAGGAAUGUAGAGUGCAGCAAUAAUGAGUGGGGGAAUUUUGAAAAAAACUUUAUCCUCAUCAAGUACCUCAAUUUCAAAUGAAAUUCAUAAAUAUAUUAAAUUCCAAACAGAAUUUUUUCUAUCAAAUGACAUGGCACAUUUUGAUAUGGAUGAAAAAACGUCUACAGUUGUUAUUCCAAAUGAUAUUAAACAAAAAAAUUUGAAAAUUCUUUGUGAUGAUAUAAAAUUAGAAGCACUAGUGAAAAAUUGCGACUUGAAUUGGUGUAAAUAUGCUCGGCCUUUGUGUCCAAUCAAUACAGAAAAUGAUGGAAAUUCUUUGCUUCAUUCACUAUCAUUGUAUAUAUUUGGAGUUCAUGAUCGCUACAACUAUUUUAGACGAAUUUUAAGUUUUCGAAUAAACAAGGAAAAACUAGAUGGUAU